rnacentral:rRNA from 1 species
AACAGGAUUAGAUACCCUGGUAGUCCACGCCGUAAACGAUGUCGACUUGGAGGUUGUGCCCUUGAGGCGUGGCUUCCGGAGCUAACGCGUUAAGUCGACCGCCUGGGGAGUACGGCCGCAAGGUUAAAACUCAAAUGAAUUGACGGGGGCCCGCACAAGCGGUGGAGCAUGUGGUUUAAUUCGAUGCAACGCGAAGAACCUUACCUGGUCUUGACAUCCACAGAACUUUCCAGAGAUGGAUUGGUGCCUUCGGGAACUGUGAGACAGGUGCUGCAUGGCUGUCGUCAGCUCGUGUUGUGAAAUGUUGGGUUAAGUCCCGCAACGAGCGCAACCCUUAUCCUUUGUUGCCAGCGGUCCGGCCGGGAACUCAAAGGAGACUGCCAGUGAUAAACUGGAGGAAGGUGGGGAUGACGUCAAGUCAUCAUGGCCCUUACGACCAGGGCUACACACGUGCUACAAUGGCGCAUACAAAGAGAAGCGACCUCGCGAGAGCAAGCGGACCUCAUAAAGUGCGUCGUAGUCCGGAUUGGAGUCUGCAACUCGACUCCAUGAAGUCGGAAUCGCUAGUAAUCGUGGAUCAGAAUGCCACGGUGAAUACGUUCCCGGGCCUUGUACACACCGCCCGUCACACCAUGGGAGUGGGUUGCAAAAGAAGUAGGUAGCCUAACCUUCGGGAGGGCGCUUACCACUUUGUGAUUCAUGACUGGGGUGAAGUCGUAACAAGGUAACC